rnacentral:rRNA from 1 species
GAUGAACGCUGGCGGCGUGCCUAAUACAUGCAAGUCGAGCGAACGGACGAGAAGCUUGCUUUUCUGAUGUUAGCGGCGGACGGGUGAGUAACACGUGGAUAACCUACCUAUAAGACUGGGAUAACUUCGGGAAACCGGAGCUAAUACCGGAUAAUAUUUUGAACCGCAUGGUUCAAAGGUGAAAGACGGUCUUGCUGUCACUUAUAGAUGGAUCCGCGCUGCAUUAGCUAGUUGGUAAGGUAACGGCUUACCAAGGCAACGAUGCAUAGCCGACCUGAGAGGGUGAUCGGCCACUGGAACUGAGACACGGUCCAGACUCCUACGGGAGGCAGCAGUAGGGAAUCUUCCGCAAUGGGCGAAAGCCUGACGGAGCAACGCCGCGUGAGUGAUGAAGGUCUUCGGAUCGUAAAACUCUGUUAUUAGGGAAGAACAUAUGUGUAAGUAACUGUGCACAUCUUGACGGUACCUAAUCAGAAAGCCACGGCUAACUACGUG